rnacentral:rRNA from 1 species
GAUAAACGCUAGCGACAGGCCUAACACAUGCAAGUCGAGGGGCAGCACAUGAGUAGCAAUACGAUGGUGGCGACCGGCGCACGGGUGAGUAACACGUAUGCAACCUACCCAUAAGAGGGGAAUAACCCGGAGAAAUUCGGACUAACGCCGCAUAAUACUGAAUAUUCGCAUGGAUUUUCAGUUAAAUAUUAAUAGCUUAUGGAUGGGCAUGCGUAUGAUUAGAUAGUUGGUAGGGUAACGGCCUACCAAGUCAACGAUCAUUAGGGGUUCUGAGAGGAAGGUCCCCCACAUUGGAACUGAGACACGGUCCAAACUCCUACGGGAGGCAGCAGUGAGGAAUAUUGGUCAAUGGGCGAGAGCCUGAACCAGCCAUGUCGCGUGAAGGAAGAAUGUCCUAUGGAUUGUAAACUUCUUUUAUACAGGAAUAAAGUGUACUACGUGUAGUAUUUUGUAUGUACUGUAUGAAUAAGGAUCGGCUAACUCCGUG